CAGUAGCCGCGGUAAAACAGAGGGUGCAAGCGUUAAUCGGAAUUACUGGGCGUAAAGCGCGCGUAGGUGGUUUGUUAAGUUGGAUGUGAAAGCCCCGGGCUCAACCUGGGAACUGCAUCCAAAACUGGCAAGCUAGAGUACGGUAGAGGGUGGUGGAAUUUCCUGUGUAGCGGUGAAAUGCGUAGAUAUAGGAAGGAACACCAGUGGCGAAGGCGACCACCUGGACUGAUACUGACACUGAGGUGCGAAAGCGUGGGGAGCAAACAGGAUUAGAUACCCCCGUAGUCCCUGUCUCUUAUAC
rnacentral:rRNA from 1 species